GGUCAAGCGAACAAGUGCAUGUGGUGGAUGCCUUGGCGAUCACAGGCGAUGAAGGACGCGGUAGCCUGCGAAAAGCCCCGGGGAGCUGGCAA
rnacentral:rRNA from 1 species